rnacentral:tRNA from 1 species
AGCCCAGUAGUCGAGUGGAUAAGACGCUUGCCUGCGAAGUAAGUGAUCAGGGGUUCAAUCUUCUUAAAACUU